AUCCUGUGUCGUGUUUCCUUUGCCGGCGAGGGGUCGCGACAAUCAGGAGAUAUGGAGUCAACCAACUGUGAACUGAACCUCUGAAACUGUAGCAAAAGACUAGUAAGAAACUUUGCAGAGAAAAGGGAACUAGACCAGCACAGAGUGGUAAUUCGUCUCUAAGCCAUAACUUCACUUCUGGAAAUCUGCAAAAUCUAUAACUCCCUACAGCAAUUGACAUGGAUAAAAGAAGCCCUGACCAAUCAGAGGUGACAUGAUCUUACUAUUUCACCCAGGCGUGGCUCAAGGGAUAAGUGAUUCAGGAACCUCAGUCUCCUGAGUAAUGGGUAACACUGAUGUGUCCCACCAUGUCUUACUAUUUAAUUAUUUUUCAAUUAUCCAAUUAUUCCAAAUUUUAGUUUAGUUGCAAUACAUUUAUUUUUUCCCUGCCUUACAAUAUUGUAUAGUGACCUCAAAUUUUUAAUUGGUUUUCCCAUUGAAAUUUAUUUUUUGUCCAUUAUGAAGUGAAAUACCAUGAACAAUUCUUGGAAAUGUCUUCUGAUACACAUAGCUAAAAUUUAUCUUGGGCCUAUAUCUAGCUCUAGAUUUAGUGAGUCACAGGCUAUGUGAAUAUUCAACUUUGUGAAACAAUGACAUAUUGUUUUCUGAAGUUAUUAUACUAAUUUUCACUUACACCAAUAAUGUAAAAGAUUAUCCUUUGAUUUACAUGGGUAUUGUCAAACUUCCCAGCUUUAUUCAGUGAAGUGGUUGUAGAAUGGUCUCUCAUUAUGUCCUGAAUUUAAAAUUUUCUGGUUACUAGAAAGAUUGAUGUUUGUGCAUAUGGCUGUUCAAUACACACUCAAACCAACAUCUCUUGACCUUUUCCUUAUUGAUAUGUAGAAGUUUUUUAUAGUUUCAUACUAGAAAUUCUCUGUUGAUUAAAUAUGCUUCCCUUAUUUUAUCCUGUUUUUAUCUUUAAUAUUUUUAAAGAUGUCUUUUGAUAAACUCAACUUUCUAAUGUCAAGAUAGCCAAAAGUAUUAUUAUUUUUAGAUAUGGUCAGGACUUUCUGUGUUUCCUCAAGUCCUCCCUAUGUUCACAUGAGAUAAAUAUUCACCCAUUUUAUUUAUCAGUUUUAAAAUUAUUCUUUUCAUGUUUAACUGCUUAAUCUGUCUGGAGCAUUUUUCUGUGCCUGGUGUUAGAGAUCUUAUUUUUAACAUAGGUAUAGUGAAACUUUUACCUACAUGUCUUGAGUCAGUCCUUCAUAAUUUGUUUUGCUACGUCUCUGUUAUCUGCAGUUCUUAUUAAGUGACUCUACUUCUGGGUCACUGUUCUUAUGGGUCAGAACCUCCUUCCUCCAUAAAUGCUGCACUGCCUUAAUUAACUGUGUGUUGUUGUAAGUUUCUCUGUCUUUUCAAAUUUUUUCCUCAAAAUUAUAUUGGAUCUCUUUCCUAAUUCAAAAAUUUAUACUCAUUUUGUAAACAUUAUUUUACUCUGAAAUACAGAACACAAAGAGGUGCAUAAAAUAUAAAUGUGCAACUGCUUAAAAUAUUAUAAUGUAAGCAAAAAGAAAUAGAACAAGUCUUUACCCUCAGAGGCAGCUCAAAAGUCUAUUCUCAGUCAUAAUCUCCUUCUGUUACCUGAAUGUGAUCAGUGUGUGACUAUUAUUGAUAGUCACUACCUUGCUGUACUUUAUAUCAAAGUGUGCUAUAACAAAGUAGUGUAAUUUUGGCUGAUUUUGAAUUAUUUUAUUAGUGGAAAAUAUAGAAUUAUUUUGUGUCUGGCUUUAUUUGAACAACAUUAUAUUGUAUAGAUUAAUCCUUGGUGUGACAUAUAAAUUUAGUUCAUUCAUUUCUAUUUCUAUAUAGUAUUCUACCAUGUAAAUAAAUACUACAAUGAAUGUGUCUGCUAGACAUCUGGGUUGGUUCCAAUUUGGAGUUAUUAAGAAUAGU